rnacentral:rRNA from 1 species
GACGAACGCUGGCGGCGUGCUUAACACAUGCAAGUCGAACGGAAAGGCCUCUUUCGGGGGGUACUCGAGUGGCGAACGGGUGAGUAACACGUGAGUAACCUGCCCUUGACUUUGGGAUAACUUCAGGAAACUGGGGCUAAUACCGGAUAGGAGCUCCUGCUGCAUGGUGGGGGUUGGAAAGUUUCGGCGGUUGGGGAUGGACUCGCGGCUUAUCAGCUUGUUGGUGGGGUAGUGGCUUACCAAGGCUUUGACGGGUAGCCGGCCUGAGAGGGUGACCGGCCACAUUGGGACUGAGGUACGGCCCAGACUCCUACGGGAGGCAGCAGUGGGGAAUAUUGCACAAUGGGUGGAAGCCUGAUGCAGCAACGCCGUGUGCGGGAUGACGGCCUUCGGGUUGGAAACCGCUUUCGCUCAUGACGAAGCUUUGUGUGACGGUAGUGGGUAAAGAAGCACCGGCUAACUACGUG